rnacentral:rRNA from 1 species
GUCCUCCGUAUCGGCUCGUCCAUCUCGAUCGGCUCCGGUUCUGCUACAUUGUUCUGGUUCGAUAGGUGGGCGGGUGACGUCCCUUUUGCCGCCUGAUUCCCGGACUUAUUCUCCACCGCGGUGGAGCCUAGGAUCUAUGUCGAGGUCGAUCUUUCGGAUCUUGGGCGCCUCGCAUUCCGGCGCCCCUUCGGUCCCCCAGAUGUUGCUGCCUGGGAUGAGAUGCUCGACUGCAUCGCCCUCCACACCCCUAAUGUAGACAGGGUCUCAGAUCGCAUAUCGUGGCGCCUAGAGCCCUCGGGUCGUUUCUCCACUCGGUCCCUGUACCAGGCCAUCGCCCCGUCGACGGCCCCGGUGGCUUUCACUGCUGUCUGGGCCAUCAAGCUGCCGCUCAAGAUCAGGAUAUUCCUGUGGCAAUGGAUUAGGGGUCGGGUACCUUCUGGGGUGGAGGUGCUCAAACGUAAUGGCCCUGGGGACGGGAUGUGUCCCCUCUGCAAUACGGUGGAGGAUUCGAACCACAUAUUCUUUGCGUGUGUCACGGCCCAAUUCCUUUGGAGCUGUUUUCAUGAGGCCGUUGGCGGUCAUUGGUGCCACACCAACCCCACCGACCUCCUUGCGGAGAUUCAGGCCAUCCCUCCUUCGGUCUGCCACGUUAGGUGGCUCUCCGUUGGAGUGCUUGCGUGGACGCUCUGGACGGUCCGCAAUAAUCUUGUGAUCCAGCGUGUUCCCCUUCGACGUGCAACUGAUGCUGUCUUUAAACUGUGUGGUUACCUGCAGCUCUGGCGGCCGCUUAGCUGCCCUUCUGACCGGGACGCCAUCAACACCUUCAUCGCCGACCUUCGCUCAAUGGCGCUUCGUCUGUCUCCACCGCUUCCGCCGCCUCCUCGAGAGCCUGAUUAG